ACCGCAACAACCUCUCUCCCCAUUUUUAUUCUCGCGAAACGAUACCGCAGCGUAGUUUUCCAAGAGAGACGGUGGAAUUUAAAAAGCAAGUCGCUGCGUUUUGCGUUUCCUUGAUUUUGUUCGCUUCCUUCCUUCUCUCUCUAAAGUUCGUUUCAACUUUCAGGCUUUUCUAAUGAGUCACCGAAUACUGAAAGAUGGUACGAAGGCUGAGACUCAUGUCACUUCCAGUAUCAGCACUGGAUCUACUGUGCUAAUCGUAUUCCUUGUCCUUGUGGUCCUCGUGGUGAUCUUUUUGUUCCUUUUCAAGUUCUGGCAAAAGAAGAAAAGAGAGGAGCAGUAUGCCCGUCUUUUGAAGUUGUUUGAAGAGGAUGAUGAGCUUGAACUUGAACUUGGUCUUCGGGAUUGACCCAAAACCUUACAAUUUUAUGUUCAUUAUAGUUGAGGGUUAAAUGUCUUUAUUUAUCAGGAAAACUUGUUCCUUUAAAAGCCUUGAUUUGGAUGUGAUAUGCAUACUCCUAUGAGGUCUAUCAGAACAGUACACUACACAACUGUAGGUGGCCAUUUCCCAUCUGGCAUUCCACCAUUCCCUAAUAAGAUUCUAUCAUCCAGGUCUGAUGCAACUUAGAGGUGCAAAGUGGUCGAGGAAUGUUAACUGAUCGAUGAUACUGGGUCUGACCGAUAUUUACUAGUUUUUUCUAAAGAUUUUGGUUGGCAGUCUUUUUCAUAUAAAUUUCAUGCCCAGACAUUAUGAACAUGGGUUGCUCUUCUAUGAUUUGUUUGAUGCUUUCUUGAAUUCAAAAUUUUAAGUUGGAAGUAAUGUUGGGGAGUUUCAAUCAAAAGUAAUGUUGGGGAGUUAAACCACAAGCAUUAACCCCAUUUGGAUAGUAAAAGUGUUUCAUCUCAUCUCAUUUCAUCAUUACAACUUUCUCAAAUUUCCACAUAAAUUAUAAUAAACAACUCAACUUUUUAAAUCCCAAAACAAUAAUAAUAUUAAAAAAUAAUAUUCUAACAAUAUUUUAUUCAACUUUUAACUUUCAUCUCAUCUCAACUCACUAUCCAAACAGCACCUAAGUGUUUAACCACUUGAAUAAUACAAGUUUUAACACCCUCCCCCCAAAAAUAAAGACAAAAAAGAAACGAAUGAAUCCAAAAGAUUGACUAUAAAACUAAAAUGAAAAUACAUAUAUCACUGACUAUCAAGUGAUAAUAGCUCCCGCAUUUAGGUAUAAUUUUGAGAGCAUUGGGUAUUUUGACACAGAUAUUCAAACCGAAAAUUGACCCGUAAGGUACGCAAGAAAGAAUGGAAUGGAUCACAAAGGAUGACCCACUUACAACCAUUUGAACAGAGAACAAAACUCAAUAUAUAGCUACAUGGAAUCUAUAAGGAAGCAACAGGCAAGUUCAGACAGACAAAAAAUGUUUAGACAGAUAAAGUUCCAUAUUACAUUGCCAACUAUCUAUUAACACUCGACCGAAUUCCACUGUUACUCAACAAGUAAGUUGCUUUACCAAACUAGUAGUGAGAGGAAAGAAAAGGUGGGGAAAGGAGGAGAAGAAUGGGAAAAAAACACUUCAUGAU